rnacentral:misc_RNA from 1 species
AUAAGGUAAACAAUUUCUUAAAGGCUCGUCAGUCGUACAGAAUCUACAAGACUGUCCAGUUGAAUCCUCACCGUCCCCGUCAUCCACAGUUAAAUCGUACCGGCGAAAUCAGAGUCCUCGCUGACUUCUCGCAAAGAGAAAUUAUUCUAAUCUCCUUGAUGCAUUAUUGGAGUUGAUUAUUGGAUGAAAUUUUCGCCGGCGAGAUAGGCGCGAGAAGAGAUGAAAGUGGACUGGACUCAGCUCCCUCCUGAACUCAUAGAGACAAUCUCCAAAAGCAUCACCGUUUAUGCCGAUUACCUCCACUCUCGAGCUGUAUGUCGCACUUGGCGAUCCUCCAUUCCCAAAACCCCCUACCACCUCCCUCCUCAGCUCCCAUGGCUCAUGCUCCCUCAAUCCCAAUACAACCAAUCUCACCGCGCCUUCUUCAACCUCUCCACCAACAAAUUUCACUUCCUCAAUCUCCCUGAGGCCUCCCAUCGCAAUCGCCACUGCGGCUCCUCUCACGGCUGGCUCAUAAUCCUCGAUGACAGCCCAUUAGUUCUUCUCAUAAACCCCCUCACGAGGGCCAAGUUCUCUUUGCCUCCACUCACGAGUUUCCCUAAUGUUGUUAGCUUCAAUUACUCCGAUAUCGGUCGAGAAUACGCGCUUCAAAACUCGUCGGGCGAUCGUUAUACGCGUAGCUUGAGGCAAAUGCGAGAUUGGUUCAUCAAGAAAGUCGUUUUAUCAUCCAGUCCAUUGAAGGCGAGCAAUUUCGUAGCCAUGACGAUUCUUAAUCAAACAGGUGAUUUGGCUUAUUGUAGAAAUGGAAACCAAUCCUGGACCAUCAUAGAAAAUGCACGCUCUUUUUGCGAAGAUGUUGUAUGCUUUAAUGGAUUCUUUUACGCGGUCAAUAAGUCUGGUCAAAUUGCUAUUUGCGAUGUCACCAGCGAUUCACCUGAGGUUUCGUUUAUCGAAACGCCAAGGCAAGCUGGUGGUGAUAUGCAGUAUUUGGUUAGUUCAGCAGAUGAAUUGUUAUUGGUCACCAGGUAUUUGGAUCUUGAAUUCGAAGUUGAUCAUCCUGAUAGGCAACAAUAUAUAAUGUAUAGAACGAUUCGAUUUGAAGUUUUUAGGCUUGACUGGAGUGGACCUCGGUGGGUGAGGGUUAGAAGCUUGGGUGAUAAGGUGUUGUUCAUUGGUGAAAAUACCUCAUUAUCGUUGUCAGCUACAGAUUUCUCUGGUUGCAUGGGAAAUUGCAUAUAUUACACUGAUGAUUAUUCUGACACUAAUUAUGAUGGCCAUUUUGGAGAACAUGAUUUGGGCAUUUUCAAGUUAUUGGAUGGAAGCAUUGAGCCUUUACCUUGUUAUCCGCGGAAUUUUCAUUCUCGAUUACGAUGGCCUCCACCGCUUUGGGUUUCUCCAAAUCCAUGCUAAUUCCAAGAUUGUUGGAUGUAAGUGCAGGUAUUUCUCUGUUUGUAUAUGUGUGAUAACAUGCAUAAUUACUCUGCUUUAGCAACUUAUUGCAUUAAAUAUGUUGUUCUUUGCUGUAUAAUUUACUUGCUUAUGGUAUCAAUGUUAAGGUAUUGCAUCUCAGCUUGAGUUCAUUAUAGCAAUAUCUUAGCACUUAUUGAUGAUCUAAAAUGUUUGUAUUGUUUUUCCUUCAAUUGGUUUCCUUUAAAUCCAUGAAGGAUUGGAGGUAAUGUUUCAACAGGGUAUGGUAAGCAUCUAGAGAUCCAGACGCAUUUCCUAACAUAUUGAAAAAUAUUAGCAUGGCAAAUGAGAAAUUUCAUGUUCGUAUCUAGAAAGUUAUUUGUUGUGAAUAUUCGAUGUGAGGCUAGACAUUCUUGUUUUUGUGAUGAGAGAUUGAAGUGCCCACUUGUCUAUAUGCCAUGAUGUUUUUCAGAUCUAAGUAUCAACAUUGUUGCAAGGAUGGUUUAUGUAGCUUUUAUUUUGUGCAUAGAUGCAGUGAUAUGCUUCAUUGGAAAUAAGGGAUAUUGCAUUUGAUUACCAAAUUCAGUAUGCAUAAAUCCACUUUAGAUACUCUGGCAUGAUAUUAGUUCUCUUAAUUUCUUCCCUAGUCUGGAAUCAAGUUUUUUGGGGAAUUAGUCUGAUUCUGCUGUUUUUGAAUCAAGGUAAGAACCUAUGAUGGUACACGAUAAUACAAGGGAUUCUAGCUGGACAUAUUCUUCGAAGCAUUUGGCGAUUUAGGUUACAGAUAUAGAACUGGAGUUCGUGAAAAGGGGAUCGAAAUCGUGUUCCAAAUGAAGUUAUGAGUUAACUGCAAUGAACAGUUUGCUUGUGCCUGAAUGUUUUCUGAUGUGAAAAUGAGUUUUGUAUUAUCAGUUGCCUUUGAAAGAUUGGAAAUUAGGACUGUUUAAGUAUGCCUGUCUGCAUCCUGUUGACAAGGUAUAGUUUUUCAACAACAGCAACAAAUUUGAGAAUUAGCUAGAUACAUGCCAUGAUUUGCCUUGUUUAGCACUGCCACACAAUCUUUUGAUCACAAACUCCUAUGCUAGAUUCAUGGAGAGCCCACUAAACAAUUCAGAAAACAACAAAACCUCAGCAUAUAAUUUGAAGCUUG